rnacentral:rRNA from 2 species
CACUCCUUCCCAUCCCGAACAGGACAGUGAAACGACUCAGCGCCGAUGAUAGUGCGGAUUCCCGUGUGAAAGUAGGUCAUCGUCAGGC